AGCGAACGCUGGGCGGCAUGCUUAACACAUGCAAGUCGCACGACCGGGUUUCGGCCUGGGAGUGGCGGACGGGUGAGGUAUCGCGUAGGGAUUUGUCGUUGGGUGGGGGACAACCUUGGGAAACUGGGGCUAAUACCGCAUGACGCCUGUGGGCCAAAGCUCGAGAGGGCGCCUGACGAGGAGCCUGCGUCCGAUUAGGUAGUUGGUUGGGUGAUGGCUGACCAAGCCUGCGAUCGGUAGCUGGUCUGA
rnacentral:rRNA from 1 species